rnacentral:rRNA from 1 species
GAAGGAUCAUUAUCGAGCUAAAAAGCCUCAACGGGUGUCAACGCUGCUUCUGCUGCUGCUGUGUCAGCUACUGCUGCUGCCGCCGGUGCUCUUGCAUACGGCUUGGUUGCGUGCGGUGGCGCCAGCUGUGGCCUAGGCAGCCGCGACCCUUCCGAGUGCGACGUAAAGCGGACCGCUUGCGGUCGCGGGCCUCCCAGCCCUACGCGACUGACCGCUUUGCGAGCGAGAGCGCCAUUUGCCUUUGUGCCUGCUGCUACUGGGCGCUCAUCGCGACUUUUCGAAAACGGCUAUCCGUUGGCGUCUACGCCCCAUCUAGUGGUUGCCCCGACCGUCGGCCGCUAUGAUGAUGGGGGAAUGCCCGCGUAUGCAUGUUACUACAUGUGUGCGCGCUGGUAGACUUAAUGAGCGUCGACUAGGACGCCGCCAACAACCAAACCCCAACCCCAAUACUGUGUUUACGAGUGUGUUGUCUAUUGGCGUACUGUGUGUGUGCCGAUGACACAAGAAAAUCACUCUUAGCGGUGGAUCACUCGGCUCGUGGAUCGAUGAAGAACGCAGCCAGCUGCGAUAUGUAGUGCGAAUUGCAGAUACAUUGAGCACUAAAACUUCGAACGCACAUUGCGCCAUCGGGUUCAUUCCCGUUGGCACGUCUGGCUGAGGGUCGAUAUGCUAAAUGCAACGUACGUGCUGCCUGCACGUUUGGUCGGUGCGCUAAUUGGGCCCAGCGCGUGUAUGCAGCCUAUGGCUGCUGCGCGCGCUGUGCAAUUACCGUACUCAGUGAGACUGGUGGCACAGUUGGUCGUACGCGCUUGGCUUGUGUGCGGAAACGCACACAACAGCGACCGCUACCAGCAAUGCGAGCAGAAUGCGGCGAUGUACUUUCGUCGGCCUGCGAGGUGCACCCGAGAGCUUCUAGGGGAGCACGUGUAGCAGUGUCGAAAUGCGCCAGAAUGGAAGUACGCGCAGCGCUGUUCUCAGUUCGUAUGCUUUUGACCUCAGCUCAGUCGUGAGUACCCGCUGAAUUUAAGCAUAUAAUUA